ensembl:ncRNA lncRNA:CR44737 long non-coding RNA:CR44737
CAGCCAUUUCAUUAUGAAUCACCGAGAAAAUCCUCAGAACAAGUUCGCCAAACGAUCUCAGACACUUUCCCUGCUAAAGAAACUUUUCACACACAUCGCACGGGGAAAGCCCUUAGGAAGCUAAGCAUUAGAACUGCCAUUAAAGUGUCUUAACUUUUCAGGGGUUCGUUUUGUUUCAGUUCACGUUUGUGCCUUACUGAUUUCCUCUCUGCCUGGUUUUUCCUGCGCAUUUUUUCCACAUUCCCAUUUCAAGUCAUUCGCAGCCAUUUCGAGCCUUCGUACUUGCCGUACUCCGGAAUGGAGUACUUGGAAUGGAACUCCACUCGAACUAAACUCUGGCAGUUACAGGGACUUUCCUUUGGGUUGGGCUCUGGUAUUUCAGCUCUGGGGUUAGUAAAUUUAUGAUCCUAGUCGUUGAAAUGACGAUGAACUUUUUGCUGCACACACGAACUUGGACUUGGGUCGCCGGUUUUUGGUUGUUGCCCGGUUUUUAUGCACCCCGAGUAUCAUCUGCUUAAUCACCAAAAAUAGCCACCAUAUGGCACUCGCCCACAGAAAGGGAAACACGACUUCAAAGGAGUCUCUGCUUUUUGCACGCACUGUGUCGGUGUGUUUGUGUUUAAGUGUGUGUGUGAGCCUCAAUAAUUUAUUCAUAUGCGCUUACAAGUCACUGAUGUUGUUGCUCUGCUCCUUCGACGCUUGCCGCAGACAAUUUAUGCACGCUUUUGCGGAAAAGCCGCAGGAAAAUACACAGUUUUUCCGUACUUCCAAUUCGUAGUUUUUCUUACGCCGUCGAGUGGUAUUUUCAAUUCUACUAGAAGUUUCUAAGGCGUAGCUUUUCAAGGGAGAAGUUUUUGAACCCUUUGUGCAAAAUGCUCAAACCAUAAAAACUACCUCAUUUCCUUGCAAUUUAACUUACAUUUUAAGUUUCAUUUUGUAUUUAAGCAACCACUGAAAGUAUUUAAUGUUACACCAAAUACCCAUCAGUUUGAUUUUUGAGCGGUAGCUUUGGCCCUUCUCAGUUUGAAGGAGAAAUGCGUCGGGCUAAGCUGCUUACAGUGAGCUGUCGAUAAGAGUGCGAGACUGACUGCCAGCAGCGAUCGCUCAUGUACGCCAUAAAUCAUAAAGACGCGACCUCGGAUCGGUGUCCCCAGCCAUACACUCGCACAUAUAUCCAACUCCAUGGACACCGAUCUCGUCUCCGAUUCCCAUUCCGAUUCUGCCGCCGUCGCUGGCCUCUAAUGUGCUUAAGGAACGCUUAAGGUUGUCCGCACGUCAGGAAUUCGCGUCCCGAACUGAUAAGAGACGAGUCGUCGCUGCCCUACCUGGAUUCCGGCCUGAAUUUGAGUUCCAGACUCCAGACUGCGGCCCAGAACGACCAUGCAAUACCAGAAGCCCGAAAUCAAUUGCGUAUUUAUUGGUCACAAUCAAUGCGGCGCGACAAGCAAUGGUAUACGCAAGGAGAGGGGGUAAGAGAUGAUGCACUGAGGGAAAAAAGAAGUAUGAAGAUGCACACUAUUACAUAACAAAAUCGUAGAUGAUUUAUGGGAUCAAUUUACUACCCAGCCCAUCAUUCGUGGGCUUAAGUGCCUGGACUAUUUUUCACCGUGUAAGGAAAGAGAGCAACUGACCGUGGAACGAUCGCUUAAUGAUCGCCCACCGCGUCGCCGUCAACGUCAACCGCAAUAAGCCGGCGGCGUCAGCAGAGAAGCGCACCCACUUCAUUACCUCUCCUGGAGAGGAUUGCCUGUCCAGCGGUCGCAUCUUCUUCUUCGUUUGGCUUCUCGGUUGCGUCAUGGCUGUGGAAUGCCAGCCCCUAUAAUGGUGUACCUCCUGGCCGAUUCCCUACCUGACCUGUUGUCCGCGUGUCUCUCCAGGCGUAAUCAGUUAUAAAUCACCCGCAACCUGUGACCCGGGCUCGAGUUGCAAACCUCCCAUUCAAUCAUCAUAAACAUUGGCCACCGCUGCAAGUGCACCGCAUGUGUCCCAAAACCCCUAACAUCCCAUCCACCAUCCAUCCAUGCAACACCUCCCGCAGAUGGUAAUGAGUAAAUUUCUGCCAUGCGAUUGCCCGGCAGGAAAAUAUUAGCCACACUACACGCCCCGCAUAAAAAACGGUAGAGGUGGGGGUGGGGAGGUCGGAAAAUGGGGUGGGGCUCGGGAAAGCGGUGGGCGGCGGAGGGAGUGGUGCACGCGCCGGACACGCAGCGUGACAAAAACGCGCAAUAUGGACGAAAACAAUUUCCCAGGCCUCGGGCGAUUGCGAAUCCUUGGAGUGAAGCGAAAGUGUUGAGCACAAAAGUCAAAGGAUCAACGCUUGCAAGUUAACCGGCGAAGAAAAAAACAACACGCCAAAAAAGAGCGUUACGGAAGUGGGAAAGGCAGUCUAUACACUUGCAAAAAAUU